UACUUGCUUUUGGUAAAACUUGAAUUUAAUUUGACUCACUAUAGUUUUCAGUCACACAGAAAUAUAAUAUAUAGAAUAUUAUAAAUUAGAAUGGUAUUUAUGUUGAGGUCACACUUUCCUUAUAUUUUCAUAAUUUGAUAUUGCAAUUGUCAAAGCUUUAAAAAGUUAGCUUAUAAUAAUGUACAAAAACAAUGUGUACACUUGAAUAAAUAAAAUUUGUACAUAAACAUUAAAAAUGCAUUUUCUUAACUGACUUGUCCAGUGUAUUAUGUGGAAGUACCAUCCCCUUAUUAUGGAAUUCUUACUCUUGUCUCCCCACCAAAAUCAAUUUAUUUACUUUGAAAAAUAAAAAUAAGGAUUCCUUUAUAAUAAUAACAAAAUAUCUUACUAAAUAAAAUUUUAUCCAAAGGAAAAAUCUGAGGUAAAUCCAUUUGAUAUACUGCUCAACUAUUUCUAGAUGAAAAUAUAUAAAGACUUAUAAAUUGCAUAAUUAAAUACUUCCAGAAUGGUCUGUAAUGUUUAUCAGUCUUCUUUUCUUAAUUGACAAUGAAAGCUAGGAGAAAGAAGUACCUUUCAAGGUCCCAAAUGUGAGUUCCUGUUCCUAACAGUUUCUAGAAAGGAAAGAAAAUAGCUGAAAUCACAGAGGUAGUAAACAAGAAAAAGGAAGCCCAUUAGGGCACACAGAAAUCUGUUUUUCUAUUUAACUGUUGUUUAAUAGAAAACAAUACUUGUAUAUGUCCUUAGUUCAUUCCUAUUCAAACUUCUCCAUUUUCUCUCCACUCCCUCUUAUACCGUGACCUCUCCAUACACGUAUGAGUAAAUGUAACUUUUAUAGACCUGAUGUAAUUGUCAACUCAGAGGGUCAUUGGUGAAUAAAGCUCACUGUUUCUAGUCCUUUCUGAACACUGGCUGGCUGGCUCAACUCAGCUGUUCUGGCUCAAAUGCCUUCCUAAGCUGACUGAUUCAAAAGGCUUCUCUUGGCUUCCCACUGAAUUGCUCUGCUGGGUCUCAAAUAACUCUCAAUAGUUAUUCUAAUCUUCUGGCUGUUUCUUAUUCUUUGGCUUCGACUGACUCUGCUGACCUGCAGGGAACUGCAUGAACUCACUAAUGAACUGAGUUCCACUCUACUGCUCUUAAAUAGCGUUUCCCUGAGAGGUAGGAAUAUCCUAUCUCUAAUUUUCUGUCAGGUCUUUCUCUGAUUUAUUGCUUUGUCUGUCCAUCAAUUAGAUUUCACAUUCAAACAUGGAUCCUUCCUUCUACCUUUAUUGUUUGGAAUUAAAUAUAUGUACUAAGGGCAUGUCUGUAUUCCAGCCUGAAGGAAUAACAGUGUGUCUAAUGUCUGAAUUUCAGCAUACAGACCUAAAUAUUUCUUUGGAUGUUUUCAUAGCAGCCAUGUUGCUAGACUAAACUUAUAUAUAUGUAUGUAUAUGUAUGUAUAUGUAUGUAUGUAUGAAUGUAUGUAUGAAUGAAUGUAUGUGUAUAUUUAUGUGUGUGUGUGUAGGGAACACACACACACACAAUUAGAUUGGACCAGGUAAAAGUCUUAAUAUUCUGUUCCUAAUGCUACAUGCAAUCAAUAGUUGCCUAGAUAGGAAUAUUUAGAUUGAAUAAUUUACUUUCUACUCAGAUAAAAUUUCACUUUGUAGAUCUGCUUGAGUCUGGAACUCAAUAGCCAGACCAGGCUUUUCUGGAGCUCACAGAAACAUCACAUCUUUCUGCUUUCUGAGUAUUGGAUUUAAGAGUGUGCUCCAUCAUGCCAUGCUCACAUCAUACAAUCUUAGGAGUAGAUUUUCAAAGAUUUCACCUAGGUUUUCAAAGGCACUGUAGGAGUCUCCAUAAAAGCAUCAUCAUGGGCUUUAGAAUUUCAUGUGGUGUCACUUGUUUCUGUGUUGAUAAGUCUGCAAAGCCAUUCAGGCACAGUUCCAGAAAGAAGGUGGGAGAUCACUAUGGCACAGAACAAUGUGGGAGCCAAGAGAAGGUGCACUGUUGUGAGAGAUAUUCAUUCUGUAACAAACCCUUAAAAUUCUGUUUUUAACACAUUAAGUCUGAGAUGCUAUCUAUGUGAAAACAGCCACAUGGGACAGAGAAUUGUGUAUAUGAGUAGUUUAAAAACUUAGUGGUUACCAUCAUCAGUGACACAUGCCGUUGACACAUC
rnacentral:lncRNA from 1 species